GCCUGGGUGGCUCAGUUGGUUGAGCAUCUGACUUUGGUUCAGGUCAUGAUCUCGUGGUCUGUGAGUUUGAGCCCCACAUCGGGCU
rnacentral:tRNA from 1 species